AAAAAAAGAGCAUCAUUGGACAAAUGGUACCUCCUUUUUUAUAAAGUUGAAACUGAAACUUUGAAGCUUAGAAAUAUGAAGGUAGCACCUGGGAUUUGAGCCCAGGUCUGUUGAGCUCCCAGAACCCCACCACUUUUUCAUAUCCCCAAGCUGGCCCAUGGGGUCCCCAAAACAGUGAGGAGAGGACUACAGCAGUAACUGUCCAUAUUUUCAACCAUACAGAAUUUAGUCCAUUCCUUAACCACUUCCCCGUUUCAGAGAUGCUUUUUAUUGAAUGGUAAAAAUGUAUGUACCUGACUGUGAGAACCACUUAAGAUGGGGUAAUGAGUCAUCCAGUGCACUGUGUUUUGUUGUGUCCCGAAUGCCACAUCUAGAUAAGAUGCUUCUGGAAAACCGGGUCCACAGCAUGGUCACCUUUUGGUCUCCCGCUGUACCUGGGUAAUAUGAGACACAGUGGCAUUUAAUUCUGUUGACAUGCACAUUCCGUUCUCCUGAGUGCUAAUUCAUAUCCUCAUAUUCCUUGAAAAGUUACCUCCUCCAAGAUCCCUUAUUGCAGUUGACUUCCCCUUGGUGCUCCCGAUUUAUUACACAUCGGUGAAUUAUAUUGAUUUUAUUUGCAGUUGAUUUCUUGCUUUGCUCUUUGUGACCUUCAGCUAUUUUUCUCUGCAUGUGUCUCCAGCUAUCUUAAAAGGCAGGAACUAGUGACUUCUUUUUUUUCCUUCUCCUCCACUCAGCCCCUAGAAUAGAGCUCUGUAAACAGUGCACAGGUGACCAAUAAAUACUUUUGACUCCUUGAGCUUGAUAGCUUCUUUCCCUUGCUGGACUGACAGCCUAACACUGGAGCCUGAAUCCUUUAUUUAUUAGAUGAGAUUUCUAUAGCACCUUUACUCUGAGAAGAUCAGUAUCAAUGAAGUUUGUUUCUGCUUCUGGAAAGUGCUUUUUACCUAAGCAGACCAAAGUCCUGAUAAGACCACAUGACAGCCCUUACUCCUCAGCUGCUGGGGCCUGGAGACGCAGACUAAGAAAAGCCUCACCACUUCACAUUUUGCUGUCUUGUUGCCAGCCACGAGCCUGAAUAAGAUUCUGUGCCAGCAUAAACUCUAAUGUUGGUGGAUACUGUAGUCAGUGUUACAAAAAGAGCAUUUGCAUUUGGAGAGCAUUGCCAUCUUUUGGAAGGGAGACAUGGAGAAGACUGCCUUAGAGGUCAGUAUAUCUGCCAAUAACCAGAUCCCUGUGAAUGGAGCUUUCAUGGGUUGUUGGCUUUCACCUAGUGCCUGAUGUCAGGGGGCACUAGAACUGUUCAGUCUCUCGAAGUCGUGUUGCUUAGUGAGCUAAGGUUACUGGGACAGGACCCAUGAGGGGCGUGACAGGUGAUACAUUCCCAGAGACUCAAAAGGAACAAGCCCUGGAUAAGUUGGGAAUAAGCGCUGAGAGGUGACACUCUUAACUGUUGGGAAAAGGGGCUAGCACACUUCAGAUCUGGAUAGUUGAGACUGACCAUGAAAUACUACAGCAAAGUUCAGAGGCAAAAAAACUGAAAAAGGUGGAUGUGUUAGCCCUAUAGUUCAUUGGAGAAGUGCCUAAAAUAAUUGGAUUAACUGGCUUCUCUAAGAAAUUUCUCACCUUUCUACAUCUCCGUGUUUUGUGCAGGCAUCCCCAUCCAUAAUUCAGGGUUAGACAGAGCUCAGUUAAGAAAUGAACACGUGAGGCCGGCCGUGGUGGCUCACGCCUGUAAUCCCAGCACUUUGGGAGGCCAAGGCGGGUGGAUCACCUGAGGUCAGGAGUUCGAGACAAACCUGACCAAUAUGGUGAAACCCUGUCUCUACUAAAAAUACAAAAAUUAGCCAGGUGUGGUGGCGUGCGCCUGUAAUCCCAGCUACUCAGGAGGCUGAGGCAGGAGAAUCGCUGGAAUCUGGGAGUUGGAGGUUGCAGUGAGCCGAGAUCGCGCCACUGCAUUCCAGCCUGGGCAACAGAGCAAGACUCCAUCUCAAUUAAAAAAAAAACAAACAAAAAAAACACGUUUCCGGUGAGCUGUGUAGACAGAUGAGAGGUACACACGUAAGAGCUGCUUGGUGUGGACACUUACUAGCAUCACCAAGUUUGGCCUGCCCUUGAGCCUGCAGUCCAGAAGGCUCCCUUCUCUGUGGAGCAGGUAUUAAGGCAGUCAUAGCUGUGGAUUUCCUUUUCCUUUUCCUUUUUUGAGAAACAAAAAUGGUCACAAGUAAAAAGAAAUCCAUGUGUUGGAGAGAAAAGAGACACAGUAGAGAAGGACUAGAAAUGUCUGGAAAUGGAGGCGGGGCAAAAAUGGAGGUGUGAUGGUGGGUGUGGGAAGUCCACUGGCAUUGACCUGAGAGAGGUGUUUGGACACAGCUGCCAGUGCCUGAGGAUGCCACCGCUUAUUUCCUCCUGAGAUGUGAAGGAUGUUCCCUUUCUCUGUUGUUGCCUGUGGAAAUGAGAGGCAGAGCCACCUGUACUGUCUAGUGUAUUGCUAUACCCCAGUACAGUGCCUGUGACACAGUCCAAGGAAGAUUACAGGGAAUGUCCCAUGUAGCUUUGGAUACUUCCUUGUUCGUGAUCACAGGCCACACCAACUGGUGCACAUGCUAAAAUGUACAGUGCCUGGGUGGGUGACCGGAAGACAGAUGACUCUGGCCCGUGGGGAGUACUGCCUGACUGCUGUCUUCCAUAGAAGACAGAUCUUUGCAUGAUCCAAGGCAGGCCUGCUUCAUUUACUCUGAUGGCUCCUCCAGAAAAGUACUUUGGGACGGCAAGGGAGCUAGGGAUGAGUGUGUUCCAUGCCGAUACUAGAUUUCUUUGUUAGUAUUAAAUACUUGCUUUUGCUCUAGGCCACAGGGUGGGAGGUGGCAGGCAGUGGCUACCACAGGUGAAGAUGGGUCCUGUGGGUCCAGGAGACAGGCUGGCAGCCACCUGUCUGUGCCUUGAGGACUGUAAGGGUCAUCAGGACACGUGCUGUGCACAGCAGGCCACUGUUCUCCACACACCCAGUGCUGUUCUUUCUUGGACCAUGGCAGCUGUGAGUCAGCGCACCGUGUAGUUUGUGCAUCCUUGUGAUGAAUGCACAGGAUGACAUUUGUUUCCCUGAGCUCUGCACCAUAUGUUCUAGAUUCACCCAGGAAGUGGGGGUUCCAGAUUUACAAACUAAAGGGCUAGGUUUAUGUUAAUACUCUUGCAUCAAUUAAAUUGCUCUUCCCUCAAAUCCAGGAUUAAUUUUCCAUGGAAUCUGGAGUAACUGACCAAAAUACCAGGGUGGAAUAGGAAAUGGAUGUCAGUGGGAAUUGUGUGGUUACAUUCAAUUCUGUGUUGUCUGUACUCCGCUUGUUUGUAAUUAUGAGCAACAGCAAAGCUUCAGUUCCAGGAGAGUAUCCAGUGCUAUCUUGGACAUUUCUGGGUUACCUCUAAGAGUGAGCUCAGCAAGUGUAGGCUCCUAUGAAUAACGGCAAUAGAAAGGCACUGUUAGGAAAGUAAACGUGCUACUGCAAAAAACAGGAUACACCACAAGCCAGACAGCAGUAGUUUUUCAGUUGUGCCCAGUGCACUUGUGUUCACCCAGGUAACUGGAUGAACUGUGUGGUGAUGGUGUUCUCCUGUGAGGGGGAGGGGCACAGUUACUAGCAUUAAAUAUUGCUAGAAGUAAUAUUUUUCUGUUUUUCUAUCUUGUUGCUAGAAGCAAUAUGUUUCUAUUUUUAAUGAGUCAAAUGCUGACUCUAUUUAUUUAUUCAUUCUGUUCAUCUUUAUUGAGUUGUAGAGGAAGAGCAAGGGGUAAAACUGACAAAAGUCCCUGACCUCUUGGUGCUUUUAUUCUUUAGGGGAGAGAUGCAGUAAGCAAGGGAACAGAUAAACAAGAAGUUCCCUCCAACUGCUGGGAGGGGGACGGCUUGGAGGGCAGCAAAGGCAGAAGCAGGCAACACGCCUGAGCUCUAGCAGCCUGGUGGAGCCAUCGGCCUCACCGCAUUCCAGCCCUGCUGGCUGCCUUUCUCUUCCAUCAGUAUGCUGAGCUUAUUCCUGCCACAGGACAUUUGCAUGAGAAGAGGUGCAGAGCCGAUUCAGGACAUCAUUUAGAUCUAACUAGACCUCUAAUAAAGUCAGUGUGAGGAGUAAGGAAAAGAGAGGAAUCAAGAAUUGAGCCCACAGUUUGACUUGAACAGCAGCUGGGUGGAUAUAUUGCCACUCACACUGAGGCAGAGAAGAUGAGGAGAUAAACUAACAGAGGUCAAGAAGAUGAAGAGUUGUUUCAAACAUGGUACAGUUGAGAUUCCUAGCAUUAUUCUAGUCAGACGUGUUUGUCAAGUAGGCCAUUGGAUAUCGGGAUUUGGAUUUGAGGGGAAUUCAUAGAUGGAAAUAUAAGUUCAAGAGGCAUCAGCAUGGAUACCCUAUUUGGAUCUGGAUGAAAUUACCUAAAGGAGAAAAUGCAGGAGGACGUGAUGCUGGGUGAUUUUAGAGGAGAAACCAUGAAGGAUUCCAAGGAGCAGCAGUUGGUCAGGUGGGAAGAAAGGAGUGUGACAUCACAGAAGAUGAAAAAUAAAAGUAUUUUAAGAAACAGAAAAGUGGACAAAUGCUGUAGAGGUUGAGGUGAGGAUAUUGGAUUUCGCCCCUUGAAUACCUGAUUGGCCUUUGCUUGCUCCCUAGGGUUCAGAGAACACAGUCUUUCUAUACCUAACCUAUCAUUCAUUUACCUGACCAAAAUAUUUUGAGUGAACCAAGCAGUAUUUUAGGGAUAGAGGAUAUGUGAUAAAUUACAGAAGCAUGGUGCUUGAUUUUAUGAAAUCUAGCCAAGGAGACAAAUUAAAUGAACAAAUUCCACAAAUGACGCUAAAUUAAAAUUGUGACUAGUGAUUGAAGGAAAAGUUCAAGAUGCCUUGAAAGCAUCCAACUGGGCCCUAACCUAGUCUGAGGGUCCAGGAAGAUCUUCCUGAGGAAGUCAUUGAAGCUAAGGCCUGAGUAAGCAAGAAUUUCCUUUGGAAGUCAGUGUGUCUGGGACAUAGAAUGCAAGGGAGUAAAUGGCACAAGGGGAAGCGGCAGCCAGGGUUGAGAUCGUGCUUCAGUGGGGAAAUUUUUAUUGUAAUCAGUGGAGCACGGUAAUCACAGACAGGGCUGGAUCUCAUCAUCUCAUCAUGUUGGCUGCCCUGAGGAAGGUGGCUUUGAUGUGGGGCGACCACCUAAAGGAAGCUGUUGCAGUAGCCUCGGAAAAAAGUUACUGGUCUCUUUGACUAGGUGGUGGCUUAUGACGCUGGCUGCUCUGAGGAAGGUGGAUUUGAUAUGGGGCGACCACCUAAAGGAGGCUAUUGCAGUAGCCCUGGAAAAAAAGAUUCUGGCGGCUUUGACUAGGUGGUGGCAGUAGAGAUGG
rnacentral:lncRNA from 1 species